UACGUAGGGGGCAAGCGUUGUCCGGAUUUAUUGGGCGUAAAGAGCGCGUAGGCGGCCAAGCAGGUCAGCUGUGAAAACUCGGGGCUCAACCUCGAGACGUCGGUUGAAACCGCUUGACUAGAGUCCGGAAGAGGAGAGUGGAAUUCCCGGUGUAGCGGUGAAAUGCGCAGAUAUCGGGAAGAACACCCGUGGCGAAGGCGGCUCUCUGGGACGGUACUGACGCUGAGACGCGAAAGCGUGGGGAGCGAACAGG
rnacentral:rRNA from 1 species